rnacentral:tRNA from 1 species
GGGGCUAUAGCUCAGUGGCAGAGCACUUGCCUAGCAUGUGUGAGGCACUGCGUUCAAUCCUUAGCACCA